GCCUAGCCCCGAUAGUCCCGAGGCUUCGGGAGGAAAUCCUUUUGUUCCGGUCCCGAUAACUAUCGGGAGGAACAAAAGAUUGAAACGGAUAGCGGGAUUAGCU
rnacentral:sRNA from 1 species